rnacentral:tRNA from 1 species
CUAGGUGUAGGAAAGCAUGGUCAAUCCGUCUGCCUUGGGAGCAGAAGAACGCUGGUUCGAAUCCAGCCACCUAGACCA